rnacentral:sRNA from 1 species
GCUGGUGGCGCACUCCCUGAUCCGGGCUGUGUCUCCGUGCGUAUUCAGCACACCGAUACCUGGCCCGCCAUUUGAGCGGGCUUUUUUAU